GAGGCUGGUGUAGGGGUUAAGUGCGCGACCACAUAUGGAGGCUAUAGUCCUCGAGGUGGCUGUCCCGGGUUCAAUUCCCGGACCUGGCG